rnacentral:rRNA from 1 species
AUUGAACGCUGGCGGCAUGCUUUACACAUGCAAGUCGGACGGCAGCACAGAGAAGCUUGCUUCUUGGGUGGCGAGUGGCGAACGGGUGAGUAAUAUAUCGGAACGUACCGAGUAAUGGGGGAUAACUAAUCGAAAGAUUAGCUAAUACCGCAUAUUCUCUGAGGAGGAAAGCAGGGGACCUUCGGGCCUUGCGUUAUUCGAGCGGCCGAUAUCUGUUUAGCUAGUUGGUGGGGUAAAGGCCUACCAAGGCGACGAUCAGUAGCGGGUCUGAGAGGAUGAUCCGCCACACUGGGACUGAGACACGGCCCAGACUCCUACGGGAGGCAGCAGUGGGGAAUUUUGGACAAUGGGCGCAAGCCUGAUCCAGCCAUGCCGCGUGUCUGAAGAAGGCCUUCGGGUUGUAAAGGACUUUUGUCAGGGAAGAAAAGGCUGUUGCUAAUAUCGACAGCUGAUGACGGUACCUGAAGAAUAAGCACCGGCUAACUACGUG